rnacentral:rRNA from 1 species
GACGAACGCUGGCGGCGUGCUUAACACAUGCAAGUCGAACGGAAGGGCCCUGCUUUUGUGGGGUGCUCGAGUGGCGAACGGGUGAGUAACACGUGAGUAACCUGCCCUUGACUUUGGGAUAACUUCAGGAAACUGGGGCUAAUACCGGAUAGGAGCUCCUGCUGCAUGGUGGGGGUUGGAAAGUUUCGGCGGUUGGGGAUGGACUCGCGGCUUAUCAGCUUGUUGGUGGGGUAGUGGCUUACCAAGGCUUUGACGGGUAGCCGGCCUGAGAGGGUGACCGGCCACAUUGGGACUGAGAUACGGCCCAGACUCCUACGGGAGGCAGCAGGGGGGAAUAUUGCACAAUGGGCGGAAGCCUGAUGCAGCAACGCCGCGUGCGGGAUAACGGCCUUCGGGUUGUAAACCGCUUUCGCCUGUGACGAAGCGUGAGUGACGGUAAUGGGUAAAGAAGCACCGGCUAACUACGUG